CAGCAGUGCAGACAGAGUUAACUUGAAGACUGAGCACCCCACUGGGUGUCCCAGAGACCCUCCUCUUGUCCUGACUUGUUGACUGGCCACCUUUUUUGGGUUUGUUAUAGUUUGUUUACCUUGGACUGUGCUUUCUCCCUGCAGUUUGCUGCCCUGGGCCUCUGGUUUGAAGUCAGCCGCCCAAUGGCCUCGACACCGUCACCUCGCCUCCAGCCACGGGCCAUGCUCCACACGCCACCGACACUUUGGCCAGGGGGAGGGGAGAGAUGGCUUAAUCAUUGCAGGCCAACACCCAGCCUGGAUCUGCCUGAUGGACAACAGUAUUGAUAGUCUAGCUGACCCUUGUUCGACAAGCUGACAUUCCCCGUAUUUCACAGGCCGACGCUGGACGUGCAUCAAAGAGACUGUCAGGUCACCAAACAGCUAAUUAAAGCAAUAAAGAGUCAGGAAGGCUAAAUGGCCCCUUUCCUCCUCAGGAGCCUAAGGUCCCUUGUAGGAACCUGCAUGGUUCCUUCUUCCCUGGAAGUGCAGUCCAAGAUGGAGAGGAUAUUGGGGAAUGUCCCAGCAAGCCCUCGGAUCAGAAAAAGGAUGAAGGUGGCUGGCUGUUAUAAUUCAUCAUGAACGCAUCUCACUCCAGGCCUGGCUCCCCUGACAGAAGGAACAGCCGGUCUUCAAAAGGUCAAAGGCAAUUUUCUCCUUUCGUCUUUCUCAGUUUCCAGCAUAGAUUUGUCACUCUGAGAAAGCAUGAAUUCUGGAUUUGAUGUACUUUAAUUGAUUUCACCCUCAACAAGUCAGACUGUCCAUCAGCUCUCUCCUUGGGCUUCCCUGAACUUUGCUUAAGGCUAAGGUUUUCAUCCGUCCCUGGAACCAAGCUGUCACCAAGCAAUUUACUCCCCAUACCAACUCUCAGGACCCAUCUCGUUUUCACUCCUGUAACUCUCCAGAGACAGAGGAAGAGAUAUGCAGGAGAGAUGGUAGAAAGGAAAAUUAAGGCAGAAAAAAAGAAUGGAUAAUGGAUGGAAAAUCCUUUUCCUUUACUGCCUUUUUGGGUGAAUUUGUCAGACUAUUUUCUACAAAUUGUUAAUGGGGUGAGAUCAUGGAGAAAAAUGGGUGGGUGGGUGAAUGAAUGGAUGAUGCUUUGAUAAAUUCAUGGGUGGAUGUACAAAUACACACACAGAUAAAUGUAUAAAUAAAUGAAAGAUACCAGGCACAAUCACCGAUAACUUGAUUCAUUAGCAGAUCUUAAAGUUUUUUAUCGAUUACUCGACAUAUGCCAGAAACAGUUACAGGUGCUGGAAGGAUGAGAAAGCAUAUGUAGUCCCUGUCACCAAAGAGCUCACACUCCAAGAAGGAAGGAGGGCAUGCAGCAAUAAGAAAUUGCAGGAUAGAUUAUAUUAAGGAUAUUUACAAUAUUGUGAGAAUAAAGGGGGAAGAGUGAGUUUCAGAGACACUGCAUGGAAACCCAGGAAAUAAUGAGUUUUAAGUGAAUAAAUUAAUGUAUGUCAAAGUAUUUUCUGGGAGUAGAAACCCAAGCUGCCUAUUCAAGACUGUUCCUAGGUCAAAUGAUAAAGCACAAUAUGUGGGUGCCCUGUGAGUUCUCUCUGUUUUCCCCUUACCCAUGUGAAGAG
rnacentral:lncRNA from 1 species